rnacentral:tRNA from 1 species
GUGCCCAUAGCUCAGAUGGUUAGAGCGUUCGACUCAUAAUCGAGGGGUCUCCGGUUCAAGUCCGGAUGGGCGCACCA